GAUGAACGCUAGCGGGAGGCCUAAUACAUGCAAGUCGAGCGCCCCGCAAGGGGAGCGGCGGACGGGUGAGUAACGCGUGGGAACGUACCCUUUGCUACGGAAUAGCCUCGGGAAACUGGGAGUAAUACCGUAUGUGCCCUUCGGGGGAAGAUUUAUCGGCAAAGGAUCGGCCCGCGUUGGAUUAGGUAGUUGGUGGGGUAAUGGCCUACCAAGCCGACGAUCCAUAGCUGGUUUGAGAGGAUGAUCAGCCACACUGGGACUGAGACACGGCCCAGACUCCUACGGGAGGCAGCAGUGGGGAAUCUUAGACAAUGGGCGCAAGCCUGAUCUAGCCAUGCCGCGUGAGCGAUGAAGGCCUUAGGGUUGUAAAGCUCUUUCAGUGGGGAAGAUAAUGACUGUACCCACAGAAGAAGCCCCGGCUAACUCCGUG
rnacentral:rRNA from 1 species